GAGAGAGGUGGAAAGAGGAGAGGGGGGGGAGAGAGAGAAAGGGUGAGAGAGUGAGAGAAAGUUAGAGAGAGAAAGGUUGAGAGAGGGAGAGAGAAGGAGAGAGAGGGAGAGAGAGGGAGAGAGAGGGAGAGAGAGAGAGGGAGAGGGAGAGGGAGAGGGAGAGAGAGAGUCUUCCAGGCACUUGUUCACUCCCCAGUUGGCUGCCAUGGCCGGAGCUACACCAAUGCAAAGCAAUGACCAUGAGCCAGGAUCCUGGUGCUUUUUCUGGGUCUCCCACAUUGUUGCAGAAGCUCAACAACUUGGGCCUUCUUCCACUGCUUUCUCAAGCUAUAGCAGAGGGCUGGAUUAGAAUUGGAGCAGCCAGGACUUGAACCAGCAUGCAUAUGGGAUGCCGGUACUGCAGGCAGUGGCAUUUUACCAGCUACGCCACAGCACCAGCCCUUUCCUAUGGUUUUUGACUCAGUCCUGUGUUUUGAGAAGUAUUUUUUUAAGGAACACGAAUGGAUUUAAGUAUUUCAAACUCUCUCUGAGGUUGAUAUUAUUAUUACGACCAUGUAUGUCACAGGUACUGGAAGAUAAGUCUAAGGUGGCAAAGAGAAACCUCUGGUGACUGAUCUUCAGGCUUGGACUGUGGGACUUUGGACAAGCGAGGGAAAGCCCCUGUGUGCUUUAUUUCCUCACUUGUGCAGGAUGGUGGACAAAAGAGACAAUGUGUAGUUGUGGUGGUUCCUUGGUGUGGCUCAGACUGGGGCUGUCACGGUGUGCUAGAAAUGUGGAGAGAGUGAUAGGAGGGCAGGUGAUGUUGGGAGGGUGUGAAGGGAUCAAGGAUGACUUGGGGAGUCAACAGUACAGGGUUGACCUCUGGGAAUUAGCAGAGUCCAGGGCUCGGUGGGGGAAGCUCUAUGUCAGAGGAGGGGUGGCCCUGGCCUCUUUCUCCACCCCUAACUCAUACUUGCCUGCAUCUCCCAGCUCAUCACCCAGCUUGGCCAGAGUGGGCACUAAGGAGAGCAUGGCAUGGGGUGGAUUCAGUUCAGCCUCUCACAUGUGGGUGUGCUGGGUUCACCCUCUAUCUCAGGUGGGGCCUGGGGCAAAGCCUGGUCACAAGGCCCGGCAAGCAGACUCCUUCAGAGUGGCUUUGCUUUGGAGGUGACCCAGAGGUUCUCAGUAAUGACUUCCAUGGUGAUAGGUUCAACUCAGACGCCUGAUCCUGUGAGUGGGGCUGACUCAGGCAGAUAUAGGGGGAGUUUGCAGGAUGCAAUAAUCAUGUGUGGAUGAAGAGUAUUUUCUUGAGUCUCUUGGUUCUUUGUGACCUGACUAGAAAACGUCAUCACCUGUGUCCUCCUGGGGGAAUGUUGUCCACAUGUAUGUGGAUCAGCAUCCACUGUGUCUGAGAUAUGUUUUAUAAUGUCUGUAUAAUACACUUGUGCAGUGCACUGUGAUGUGUUCUGAGAGGUGCAUAGUGAUGGAGCAGUGGUCAAGUGAUGCCAGUGACCCAGAGAUACACCAUGAGAUACAGUCAUAUCUGGUGAUAUGUUAAUAUACAGUGACAGAUAAUAGUGACAUACAGAGACAGGUAGAGUGGUAUACAGUGUCAAAGCAAUAUUCAGUGACAUAUGGUGAUGUACAGUGACAAAUAUAGGUGUAUAGUGAUAUAGAGUGACAGAUACAGUAAUAUAUAGGGUAGAUAUGGUAAUGCAUAGUGGCAGAUGUAGUGAUGUGUAGUGAUAUAGUGAUACAUAAGGACAGAUAUGGUGAUAUACAGUGACAGUGAUACACAGAGACAGAGUGAUAUACAGUGAAAUCAUAUGUAUGGUGAGAGAUAUGGUGAUAAACAGAUACGACCAAUAUAGCCCUAUACUGACAUAUUGUGAUAGUGAUAUAUAGUAGCUGGUGGAGUAUAGUGUGGAAGAUGUUGAUACAGUAGUGUAGUGCCACAGUGAUAUUUUAGAGUGACAUAGUAAAAGACACAGAUAUCGGUGUAUCCAUGGGUGACGUGUGAGUGUUGGUGUGUGGUGUGUCAUGCACAACAUUCCUUGUUGCUCUGUUCUUGCACGUUUUGGCACAGAGUUCUCUUACACCUGAGAGUGUCCAUCAGGAAUAAGGAUUGGCUGUCUUUGGGGAUGACUAAUUCUCUAAGGUCUCAGGAUUCAUGAAUAUGCACACCACUUGCUGCAUUGUGAAGUCUCCUCAGGGCUGGUGUUUGGGACAGUAGUUGCACUGCCACUCAGGACACCCACGUCCUGUAUCAGAGUGCCUGGAUUUGAUUCCUGACUCUGCUUUUGAUUCCAGCUUCCAGCUUCUGUGACUGCUGGGAGGCUGCAGGUCAUGGCGCAACUACCAGGGUCCCUGACACCCUUGUGGAAGACCUGGAUUCAGUUCCUGGGUCCUGGAACCACUCUGCCCCAGCUCUUCCUGAGGUGUUUUGGUGACGGCGAGCUGAGGCCUCAGAGGCAGCUGAAGUCAUAGCUCCUUCCUGUAAGCCCAGGUGGGAGAGAGAGGGGCUCAGCUUGGCCUAGGAAGGUCCCUAGGAAUGGCCCAGGGCUACUGUACUAAUUGACCUCUACCCAGGCCAGGGUACAGAGAAAGGAUGGGAGAAGUUUCUGAAUUCCCAGGGAACAGGGAGCAGAGCUGUGGCAAUGGAAUAUGGACCCCAAAGACAAUUGUGUCCUAGUGUGGGAAUCUGGGUUUUGAGGUGAUGAGGAGAUGUGGUGGGAGAUGAUCUGGAAGCACUGGGUGGGUCCAAGUCAGGGUCUUUUCAAGGGAAAGAGUGAGACAGGAGUGAGAGCAGAUGUGUGGAUGGAAGCAGAGGGGUCAGGGGGUUUGGGGAGAGCAUCGUGGUACAGCAUCCACAUCCCAUAUCGGAAUGCCUGUGUUCAAGUUCUGGCUGCUUCACUUCUGAUACAGCCUCUGUGAGUAAGCAGAAGGGGAUGGAUCAAGUGCUUUAGUUCCUGCCCCCACACGGGAGACCAGGAUGCAGUUCUGUCUCCUGGCCUCAGCCUGGCCCAGUCCUGGCUGUUGUGAUCAUUUGGGGAGUGAAACAGAGGAUAGAUCUUUCUCCAUCUCUUGAGUUUCUCUCUGUAACUCUGCCUUUCAGAUAAAUAAAUCUUUUAAAAAGAUUUACUUAGAUUUAUUUUAUUUAUUUUAAAGGGAGAGAGAGAUCUUCCACCUGCUGGUUCACUCCCCAAAUGGCCACAAUGGCCAGGGCUGGGCCAGACCGAAGCCAGGAGCCAGGAGCUUCAUCCAGGUCUCCCAAGUGGGUGUCAGGGGUCCAAACCCUUGGAUCAUCUUUGCUGCUUUUCCCAGGUGCAUUACCAGGGAGCUGGUUUGGAAGUGAAGCAGCCAGGACACGAACCGGCACCUGUGUGGGAUGCCAGCAUUGCAGGUGGAGGCUUUAUCUGCUAUACCACAGCGCUGGCCCCAAUAAAUCUUUUUCUUAGAAAAGAUUUGAAGCUGUUGUGCUGCUGGCUUUGAAGUUGGAGGCAGAGCCAUGAGCACAGGGCUGGAAAAAAUGAGAAAAUGGGCUACCCCCCCAUCCCCCAGUCUCCAAAAGGAACACAGUCCUGCUGAUAUCUUGGUCUUAACAGACCCUUCUGACACUCAACCCCACUUAUUGAGGGUGAAGGUCUGGAUCCAUCCUUCUCAGAUUGGGGUAGGCAGCAGGAGAAACAGGUCUGCCUCUCACAGUCGUGGCUCUCCAGCUAAUGGCUGGUCCUGGAAGGAAUCCUGUGCUGGGCUUAGCUCAUCUGGGGAAUGUCAGCAACCAGUGAGUUAGUUACAGUCCAGCUUUUACUGUAGACAUGGUGGAGCUGGGCCCUGGGCUGUGCUGAAGACAUCGAGAGGGUCCUUGAUGCCCAGUUCAAUGGGGCCAUGGUCAUAAAGAGCAUGUGAGUAUGUAAUGUGUACAGGUGUAUUUCUGUUUGUGAAUUUUUUAAAGAUUUAUUUAUUUGGAUGGCAGAAUUACAGAGAGGUAGAGGCAGAGAGAGAGAGAGAGAGAUCGAUCUUCCAUCACUGGUUCACUCCCCAUAUGGUUGCAACAGCUGGAGCUGGGCCGAUCCAAAGCCAGGAACCAGGAACUUCUUCUGGGUUCCCACACGAGUCCAGGGGCCCAAGGACCUGGGUCAUCUUCUACUGCUAUCCCAGGCCAUAGCAGAGAGCUGGAUCAGAAGUGGAGCAGCUGGGACUUAAAUCAGUACCCAUAUGGGAUGCCAGCACUGCAGGUGGUAGCUUUUCCCGCUACACCACAGUGCCAGUCCCCUGUUCGCAGAUUCUUGAGUGUGUGUUUGGUUCUACAGAUCAUUCCCCCCACCUAGGGCCAGACAGGGACUUGUCAGGCUGGAGUGUAUCCUGAGUGGAGCACAGUGGUCAGGCUGUGGGGACUGAGGACUCCAGUGAAAGAAGCACAGCCACUGUCCUGGAGGCCUUUGGGACAGGAGUGGUGCUGCUGAGCAGGGGUGGGGAAAGUCCACUCAGGGGCAGGAAGCACAGGGCCACAGGGGACCCUCCAAAGGCCCCUCCCAGGGUCAGUAAGUCUCUGUGGCUAGGGUGACAGUGACAGAAUCUCGCAGGGAAUCUGCAGGACUCUUUCCUGGGCUGCUUGCUCCCAAGUUCACAGAAAUCACUGCUGACCUUUGGGGAUGGUCAAUUCAGGAUGGAAAGCACAUGAAUAAAUAAGAAGUGAAACCACUUUUUCUGAUUUAUGUAAGGAUAUUUAUUGAGAAGUUUUUUGGGUACAAGGGAAGGGUGGGAUGAUGGUGGGUAGGGGACAAGGUGAGAACCUGCUGGGGUUUGCAGCUCCUGGCCCCUGGGGGUGGGUGAGGGUGGGGCCCUAGGAGCAUUCUGCAGGGGCCAGGCUCUUCUCC